rnacentral:misc_RNA from 1 species
GAAAUGCGAUAAGUAGUGUGAAUUGCAGACUUUAGUGAAUCAUCGAAUCUUUGAACGCACAUUGCGCCCCUUGGUAUUCCAUUGGGCAUGCCUGUUCGAGCGUCAUUUACACCCUCAAGCUAUGCUUGGUGUUGGGCGUCUGUCCGCGCUUCUUGCGUGGACUCGCCCUAAAUCUAUUGGCAGCGGCAUCGCCGGCUUCUUGCGCAGCACUUUGCGAUUCAGAAGACUCCCGGCGGGUUUGCAUCCAUCAAGAAACCCAUCAGUUUGACCUCGAAUCAGGUAGGGAUACCCGCUGAACUUAA